GAUGAACGCUGGCGGCAGGCUUAACACAUGCAAGUCGAGCGAGCGGCGGACGGGUGAGUAAUGUCUGGGAAACUGCCUGAUGGAGGGGGCUAACUACUGGAAACGGUAGCUAAUACCGCAUACCCUCAGAUGUGCCCAGAUGGGAUUAGCUAGUAGUUGGGGUAAUGGCUCACCUCGGCGACGAUCCCUAGCUGGUCUGAGAGGAUGACCAGCCACAAUGGAACUGAGAAACGGUCCAGACUCCUACGGGAGGCAGCAGUGGGGAAUAUUGCACAAUGGGCGCAAGCCUGAUGCAGACAUGCCGCGUGUGGGAAGAAGGCCUGCGGGUUGUAAAGCACUUUCAGAGAGGAGGCGUUACUCGCAGAAGAAGCACCGGCUAACUCCGUGCCAGCAGCCGCGGUAAUUC
rnacentral:rRNA from 1 species